rnacentral:tRNA from 1 species
UCCCUGGUGGCAGAGUCGGUAAAGAAUCCACCUGCAGUGUGGGAGACCUGGGUUCGAUUCCUGGAUUGGGAG